GGCGAACGCUUCCAAAGGCGACCUUCUCGAGUUUCCGGCUGUUUCCUAGAUUGAAGGAAGUAGCCCUUUCGUCGCCCUACCAAACGCAAGAAGUCACUAUCAAACAGCUCGCCCUACUGUGACAAAGGUGCGCUCCGCCCGGUGACUAAGAAAGAGGUUUGCGCAACAAUUGAAGUGAUGAGGUCGAGGGAAGUAGGGCUCCUAUUGACUAAAGAUUGGUUCUUCGCUUUCCUUUAGAAUGAAAGUAGCUAUGAAGCCCCUACCUACAACUUACUUUGUUUGAUUCAAAAGGCGAACAGCCCCCCCAACUAGUUGUAUGGGGUGGGGUUCUUGUGGUAAGCUGCCUUGGAUAUGAGAAAUUCCUAAAAAAAGGCAAAGUCCGCUAUUAGACGAAGAUCUUCCUAUCAAUAGAUAGGAAUUAGUGUUCGAUAUAGGGGAUAGGAUCUAUCUGCUCUCUCUAAAAAAAAAUUGAGAGAGCAGAUAUAACGAUAUAAAAUCGGAAGGAUAGAUAGACAUCUAAAGAAAGGGAUGUCUAUUCUAUUCCUCUUUUUUUAUAGAAAGAAAAGAUAUCUCGUUCAUCUAUCUUUUGUUUAUUUAUCAUUGAUUCUAUCUAUGAAUCAAGUCGAAUUCGUUUUUGGCCGAAGCCCCGAAUGGAUUGGAUCGUUUCCCGCCAAUGAAAUGAACGCGGAGCCCGUUCCGAAUGCUUCUUCAAUCCGGAAGUUCUCGCGAAGAGAAUAAGAUGCUGCUCCCCCUCCCUCUGUCUUUUUUCGCUUUGCUAAUCUUCCCCUUCCCCUCUAACGGGGGCCAGGCGGCGGCGGGCGCGGGAGGAAAAAACCUAAGAGAAGACGCUCUUAGGUCCUUCUUUUUUCAGUGCAACAUAGGAAAGCGCCCUCUUUUUGUCAUUUCUGCAGCUUUCCAGAUUUGGUAUUGAACGCAUGGCGUAGCUAGGACCUUAAAAUUAUGUUUGAGCCUAUGUUCAAACAAAACCCAUCCCCCGGCUGGAAAGAAUGCCCGCCAAGUUUUGAUAAGGAAGGAACAACCCCGGAAAGGCUCGACGAAGGGAGGGAGAUGCGGCGGGGGCACGCUUUUUCGACCGCGGUGCUAUGAUUGCCGGAGCCUCUCCUCGUUCCGCCCGCUGGCCUAUUGGGAUAGCAGCCUGCGGCCUUUGCCUGCCCAUUAGAAU